GACGAACGCUGGCGGCGUGCUUAACACAUGCAAGUCGAACGAUGAAGAAGAGAAACGCGAACUUCGGUUCAAAUUUCACUUCGGAUUAGUGGCAGACGGGUGAGUAACGCGUGAGCAACCUACCUCUUACAAAGGGAUAGCCUCGGGAAACCGUGAUUAAUACCAUAUGACACAUUCAUAAGGCAUCUUAAGAAUGUUAAAGCUACGGCGGUAAGAGAUGGGCUCGCGUCCCAUUCGCUAGUUGGUGAGGUAACGGCCCACCAAGGCGACGAUGGGUAACCGGCCUGAGAGGGUGAACGGUCACAUUGGAACUGAGACACGGUCCAAACUCCUACGGGAGGCAGCAGUGGGGAAUAUUGCACAAUGGAGGGAACUCUGAUGCAGCGACGCCGCGUGAGCGAUGAAGGAAUUCGUUUCGUAAAGCUCUGUUCUAUGGGAAGAAAAGGACUGUACCAUAGGAGAAAGCCCCGGCUAAAUACGUG
rnacentral:rRNA from 1 species